GACGAACGCUGGCGGCGUGCUUAACACAUGCAAGUCGAACGGAAAGGCCCUGCUUUUGUGGGGUGCUCGAGUGGCGAACGGGUGAGUAACACGUGAGUAACCUGCCCUUGACUUUGGGAUAACUUCAGGAAACUGGGGCUAAUACCGUAUAGGAGCUCCUGCUGCAUGGUGGGGGUUGGAACGUUUCGGCGGUUGGGGAUGGACUCGCGGCUUAUCAGCUUGUUGGUGGGGUAGUGGCUUACCAAGGCUUUGACGGGUAGCCGGCCUGAGAGGGUGACCGGCCACAUUGGGACUGAGAUACGGCCCAGACUCCUACGGGAGGCAGCAGUGGGGAAUAUUGCACAAUGGGCGGAAGCCUGAUGCAGCAACGCCGCGUGCGGGAUGACGGCCUUCGGGUUGUAAACCGCUUUCGCCUGUGACGAAGCGUGAGUGACGGUAAUGGGUAAAGAAGCACCGGCUAACUACGUG
rnacentral:rRNA from 1 species